rnacentral:rRNA from 1 species
GACGGACGCUGGCAGCAUGCUUAACACAUGCAAGUCAAACGGAAAGUGGGUUUUUAAGUGAGGUUUGGGUGGCGGACGGGUGAGUAACGCGUAAAGAAAUUGUCCCCCAGCUAGGGGCAAAAUUUGGAAAAGCAUGCUAAUAUAUAAUAUAAUGAUAAUAGGGCAUCCUAGAGUUAUGAAAGCUAUAAGCGCUGUGAGAGAGCUUUGCGUCCCAUUAGCUAGUUGGGGAGGUAACGGCUCACCAAGGCGUUGAUGGGUAGCCGGCCUGAGAGGGUGAUCGGCCCCAUGGGACCUGGGUCCCGCCCCUUCUCCUUCCGGGGGGCGGCGGUGGGGAUUUUUCGCCAUGGGCCCAAGCCUCUGGUCCAGCCGUUCUGUGUGCGCUGUGGGCUUUCGGGUUGUGUACCGUGCUUUCCGGUGGGGAGGAGCAAGUGACGGUACCGGCUGAAGAAGCGCCGGCUAACUACGUG